GGCUCCCAAAAUGACCUCUACCAAUUAGUGGAUCGAAAAAGAUUGGAUAGGUUACUGGGAAGGUUAGCAAUAAGGUAAUACUGUAAGGUCACCUCCUUACUCUGUAAUAGCUGGCAUUUCUGCCAUACUGUUUAUUAAAGGUCCAACUGGCCUUUAUAAUCAACUUCUCUGCUUUUAAAUGGCCUAUAUGGCAUCGAUAUGAGUCAAACAUGAAUUAUAGUGUCAAAAUUGUGAGUUCAUCGCGACUUACUAGAGGGUUGCCAUGUGGACAUUUUGUUGUCAAGUCUGCAUGAGUGCAAUGCACGCACAUUUCGCUCUGCAAAUAGGAGUGAAAAUGGGCUUCCAUAAAGCUGAUGCCAAUUUCCAUGCAUUUCAACAAUAUUGCCAGAUGGCCAGGCAUGGAUUACAUAUGACAGUCAUUUCUGAUGCCUAUCAACUGUCAAACCACUGAUGUUGGUGAGUAUAUUAGCUAAGUUAAUCGCUGUUAUUAGCUAGCUAGUAUCUACUUUUGGUUAUACAUUAUUUGAAAAUGCUAGCGAGCCAGCCUAGCUAUGAGAUGAAAUGGGAAUGAUACUGUAGCUAGCUAAAUACACCAAGCUAGCGUGUAAUGUGAUGUAGCAUGUCACAGGAAGAUGUACAUAUCUCAUGCUAGCUAGCUACCUUGCUAACAACAGCUAACUGUAAGCCAUUGGCAUUCAGGGUCAAUACAGGGCAGGCACUUGGAGGCUAGCUAAUCAUAGGAUGUCGCCAGCUUGCUUUCAAUAAUGAUUCAACUUUAACUGGCUAGCUAACAUGAACUAACUAACUAACGUUAGCUUGCUAUCCAACUGAUUUCAACUCAGACAAAGGUACAGUAUGAUAACUAACCUGAAUUUGCUAAGUUAGGUAGCUAGCUAGCAUUCGGGUGCUUCGUCUGCUAACCGAAAACAACAUGCCUGCUCUCAUAAACGUUUAUCAUGUAAAAAAUAAAUGACUGGUGGUACUUGUCUACUACAAAUACAGCCAUGGCUCUGACAGCAAAUGGCAAAAUAUAUCAGCAAGCAUCGUCUCCUCUGAACAGUUGAUGUUGAGUUGUCUGUUACUUGAACUCUGAAGCAUUUAUUUGGGCUGCAAUCUGAGGUACAGUUAACUCUAAUGAACUUAUCCUCUACAUCAGAGGUAACUCUGGGUCUUCUUUUCCUGUGGCGGGCCUCAUGAGAGCCAGUUUCAUCAUAGCUUUUGAUGGUUUUUGCGACUGCACUUGAAGAAACUUUCAAAGAUCCGGAUUGACUGACCUUCAUGUCUUAAAACGACAGUCCAUCAUUACUUUAUCAUUGCUUAUUUUAGCUGUUCUUGCUAUUAUAUGGACUUUGUCGAUUACCAAAUAGGGCUUUCUUCUGCAUACCAACCCUACCUUUUCACAACACAAUUGAUUGGCUCAAAUGCAUUAAGAAGGAAAGAAAUUCCACAUAUUUACAUUGAACUAGGCACACCUGUUAAUUGAAAUGCAUUCCAGGUGACUACCUCAUGAUCCUGUUUGUGAUAAUGCCAAGAGGGUGCAAAGCUGUGAAGGGUGGCUACUUUGAAGAAUCUCAAAUGUAAAAAAUAUAUUAAUGUUUAACACCUUUUUUGGUUGCUACAUGAUUCCAUAUUUGUCAUUUCAUUGUUUUGAUGACUUCACUAUUAUUCUACAAUGCAAAAAAUAAAGAAAACCCCUGGAAUGAAUAGGUGUGUCCAAACUUUUGACUGGUACUGUACAUUACUUCUAAACUAGAUUUAUUUUCUUACUAUAUGUUUGAGUGAUGAUAUUUAAUUCACAGGCCACAAUACAAAACCUGGUGGAUUUGUUGUUCAGCAGCAUCGUGGUCCGUCGUGGAAUUCACCUAAAUGCCAUUGAUAAUGUAAUCAGUGCUGUGUUGUCCGCUUCCACUGUGCCAAUGGACAUGACUAAAAAUGUUUGAUGCAAGAAACCACUUUCAAAAUAAAGAUCAUUAUUAUUGCCAUACCAUUUAUUACAGAGAAUCAGAGACGUGCUACGUUCUGCCUGUUGGCUACUUAGCAUUCAAAAAGUCUCAAAAUACAACACUGCCCAUUUUAAGACACAACAAACCUGGCUAGCUUUUCAAAGAUGGCUAGAAAUGCACACAUUUUGUGCUCUUGUAUGAAGCAAUCACUCCCCCAUUAUUGACUAGAAAUGAGCUAUAACUGGGCUAAUAACUCACCUACUAGUUUAGAAUAUGAAAAAAUGUACACGUGGCUACAUGCAGCUCUCUCUUUCGUCUCAAAACAAGCGCAUCUACUCACUACUGCUCAUGCUGUAGCCUAAACACAGUCCAGUUUAAAGUGAAUGGCACAGAUCCAUAUACGGCAAUGGAUAUUUACAUAUAGGCCGACUGUAGCUCUUACUGGUUAUGGUGCACCGGUCUGUGCCUGUCAAUGCAAUAGAAUCCUACUCCAAUGCACUCUGCCUACAAGAAAAUCUCUUUGCAUACUAUGUUCGUUUUGGUAUGUAACAUUGAAAGUGAUUCGAUCACAAUUCCCACACUAGAGCGAAACGUAAAACUCUAGAAAGUUGAAGUUCACUCUAGUGCUUCUCUGAGUGGGCUGUUACUUCUUCUGCACAGCAGUCAAGGGAAGCUGCUCGCCUGCGCUUGCAGCUUUGAGGGAACAUUGCUCCUGGGCCUGAGAGCUGAAGUCAGGCUCCUUCAUGACCAGUAUCUAUGAUGAGUGGCCUGGAGCUGAUCUACUCUGCCAUGCCCAUCAGGCAUUGGCAAACACCUCAGAAGGGACAGAAGGUGAUUACUAAUAAGACAGUGUUUAGUAAUAUCACCUUUUCAAUACGUGUCACUCGUCAACUCUUCCUUGUUUUUCUACAGAUGGGCAGAAUAGAUGCUUUUUAAAUGGAGUCCUUUGACUGAAAGAAAGGUUGAUACUGAUGCCUGUAUUGGGAGAGACCUUGCAAGACAAUUAAACAAGACACAUCUAUUACUUUCUGUCUUUUGUUAUUAUUGAAUCGAGUUGUACUGUAUGUUCUUCAAACAUGUCAGGGAAGUCCUGUCUAAUACGGAACACCAUACAUGAAGGUAUAAUCUUUGCACACUGUUAUAUCAGCAGAACUACUUUUAAAGUAUAAUGUGAAGUAUGGCUUAUUCAUGGAACUGUUAGACUUAAGUUAUCAAAACACGGUUUAGAAUGUCUACAUACUGUAUGAUGGUGUGUAUACAGUAUGGAAAGUAUAUGAAUAGAGAAGUUCUACAGCAGUAAUUAUAUAAGAUGAGUCUUGACUAGAAUACGUUAUAUGCUGUACUUAUGAAGUGGGUAAAAUGGUACAUGUAAACAUUAUUAAAGUGACCAGUGUUCAA